ACUCGUCGCGUAGGACAACGCUGGCGGCGUGCCUAACACAUGCAAGUCGAGCGAGGAGAUCCUUCGGGAUGAUCCUAGCGGCGGACGGGUGAGUAACACGUGGGCAACCUGCCUCAUAGAGAGGAAUAGCCUUCCGAAAGGGAGAUUAAUACCUCAUAACAUUGCAGUUUUCGCAUGGAACAGCAAUUAAAGGAGUAAUCCGCUAUGAGAGUGGGCCCGCGGCGCAUUAGCUAGUUGGUGAGGUAACGGCUCACCAAGGCGACGAUGCGUAGCCGACCUGAGAGGGUGAUCGGCCACAUUGGGACUGAGACACCGGCCCAGACUCCUACGGGAGGCAGCAGGUGGGGAAUAUUGCACAAUGGGGAAACCCUGAUGCCAGCAACGCCGCGUGAGUGAUGACGGCCUUCGGGUUGUAAAGCUCUGUCUUCAGGGACGAUAAUGACGGUACCUGAGGAGGAAGCCACGGCUAACUACGUGCCAGCCGCCGC
rnacentral:rRNA from 1 species